rnacentral:rRNA from 1 species
ACGGAGGAUGCGAGCGUUAUCCGGAUUUAUUGGGUUUAAAGGGUGCGUAGGCGGUCUGGCAAGUCAGCGGUGAAAAUCUCAGGCUCAACCUGGGGACUGCCGUUGAUACUGCCGGGCUUGAAUAUGGUUGCUGUGGGUGGAAUGUGUGGUGUAGCGGUGAAAUGCUUAGAGAUCACACAGAAUAUCGAUUGCGAAGGCAGCUCACAAAGCCAUCAUUGACGCUGAGGCACGAAAGUGUGGGGAUCAAACAG